CAGAUUGAACGCUGGCGGCAGGCCUAACACAUGCAAGUCGAACGGUAACAGGAAGCAGCUUGCUGCUUUGCUGACGAGUGGCGGACGGGUGAGUAAUGUCUGGGAAACUGCCUGAUGGAGGGGGAUAACUACUGGAAACGGUGGCUAAUACCGCAUAACGUCGCAAGACCAAAGAGGGGGACCUUCGGGCCUCUUGCCAUCAGAUGUGCCCAGAUGGGAUUAGCUUGUUGGUGAGGUAACGGCUCACCAAGGCGACGAUCCCUAGCUGGUCUGAGAGGAUGACCAGCCACACUGGAACUGAGACACGGUCCAGACUCCUACGGGAGGCAGCAGUGGGGAAUAUUGCACAAUGGGCGCAAGCCUGAUGCAGCCAUGCCGCGUGUAUGAAGAAGGCCUUCGGGUUGUAAAGUACUUUCAGCGGGGAGGAAGGUGUUGUGGUUAAUAACCGCAGCAAUUGACGUUACCCGCAGAAGAAGCACCGGCUAACUCCGUGCCAGCAGCCGCGGUAAUACGGAGGGUGCAAGCGUUAAUCGGAAUUACUGGGCGUAAAGCGCACGCAGGCGGUCUGUCAAGUCGGAUGUGAAAUCCCCGGGCUCAACCUGGGAACUGCAUUCGAAACUGGCAGGCUUGAGUCUUGUAGAGGGGGGUAGAAUUCCAGGUGUAGCGGUGAAAUGCGUAGAGAUCUGGAGGAAUACCGGUGGCGAAGGCGGCCCCCUGGACAAAGACUGACGCUCAGGUGCGAAAGCGUGGGGAGCAAACAGGAUUAGAUACCCUGGUAGUCCACGCCGUAAACGAUGUCUACUUGGAGGUUGUGCCCUUGAGGCGUGGCUUCCGGAGCUAACGCGUUAAGUAGACCGCCUGGGGAGUACGGCCGCAAGGUUAAAACUCAAAUGAAUUGACGGGGGCCCGCACAAGCGGUGGAGCAUGUGGUUUAAUUCGAUGCAACGCGAAGAACCUUACCUGGUCUUGACAUCCACAGAAGAAUCCAGAGAUGGAUUUGUGCCUUCGGGAACUGUGAGACAGGUGCUGCAUGGCUGUCGUCAGCUCGUGUUGUGAAAUGUUGGGUUAAGUCCCGCAACGAGCGCAACCCUUAUCCUUUGUUGCCAGCGGUUAGGCCGGGAACUCAAAGGAGACUGCCAGUGAUAAACUGGAGGAAGGUGGGGAUGACGUCAAGUCAUCAUGGCCCUUACGACCAGGGCUACACACGUGCUACAAUGGCGCAUACAAAGAGAAGCGACCUCGCGAGAGCAAGCGGACCUCAUAAAGUGCGUCGUAGUCCGGAUUGGAGUCUGCAACUCGACUCCAUGAAGUCGGAAUCGCUAGUAAUCGUGGAUCAGAAUGCCACGGUGAAUACGUUCCCGGGCCUUGUACACACCGCCCGUCACACCAUGGGAGUGGGUUGCAAAAGAAGUAGGUAGCUUAACCUUCGGGAGGGCGCUUACCACUUUGUGAUUCAUGACUGGGGUGAAGUCGUAACAAGGUAACCGUAGGGGAACCUGCGGUUGGAUCACCUCCUUACCUUAAAGAAGC
rnacentral:rRNA from 1 species